rnacentral:lncRNA from 1 species
AUCAAACACUCUUGAACUGAAUAUAAGCACUUCCAAAACCUGAAAUCUCAUGAAUCACAAGCUACAUAAGUACUUAGUAUCUAACUCCAUAAAUCUAUCAACGAAGAAAAUACAUGAAGUCUAUAACUGAAGGAGGAAUAGAGAGGGACUUCUAAGUCUGCGGACAUGGCAUAUAUACAUUGAAGUCUCUAAGACCGCCUCGCCUCACUAGUAGUAUGGCUGAAAAGAAGUACGUGGAUCUGCACACGAAAAAUGUGUGUAGGAAAGGGAAUGAGUGCACCAUAGUGGUAACCAGUAACUGCCAAGCCUAACCUCGGUCAAGUAGUGACGAGAUCAAUUCAGGGCUCUACUGGUUUAUACAAACAAUAAGAUAAAAUAGUAUGAAAUAUCGUAGUAGAGUUAAGACGACUAACAAUUAAUGAAUUAUGAAAUCAAAUGAAGAAACAAUUCAGUGCACAGAGAUAGCAACAUGGGAUCUCUCGAGAUACCAUCCUGUAUUCCUAAAUGUAAAUGUACAGAGCAUCUACCAGGAUAUCGUCCCGUAGUACAAACCAUAAAAGUGUUGAAGGAUCUAUGAAAAUACGAUUCUAUAGUCCAAAAGUAAAUAUCCAAUACAAGGGGAUCUCGCGGGAUACCAUCCCAUAGUCCCAAACAUAAACAUACAGGGGAUCUUCCAGAAUAUUCUAUAGUCCCAAAAUAAAUACAUAACUCAUUCAAUAUACACAACAGUUCCAACUCAGAAAAGUCUAUUGUUCUAAUCAAGUUUGUAGGAAAGAAGACAUGCAAUUCUUACUCUAAACAUGUUACACAGGAUCCAGGUAAGCAGUUAGGCACGUAAGCAUGCUUUCCUAAGCUAGAUAGGAGGCUACAUAUACUAGUAUUGCUCAAUUAAAGGAAAACAUAGAUAUUUACUUAAUGGAAACUACGGGUUUAUAACAGUUAGCACGUGUACGCACUCGUCACCUCACGUACUAGACAUUCAUAUAACAACAAAACCAAUAUCCUAAGUAGAGUUUUCCCAUACAAGGUUAGGCAAGCCACUUACCUCAAACCAAGCUCAAAUCAAAUCCAAAAUCACGCUCAUGCCACGAGUAUCCAACUCCGAGUGGCCCAGAUCUAAUCAAAUCAAUUACAUAACAUAAAUAAAGCUACAAGCAACUAAUUUUGCUAAUAAAUUCCAAUCUAAGGCAAAAAAUAUGGAAACGUUCAAAAAUUCUUCCCGAGCCCACAUCUCAAAAUCGGGUAAAAAUCACAAAUUACGAACACCCAUUCACUCACGAGUUCAGACGUACACAAAUCAACCCAAUCCGAUGUCAAAUUCCCAUUCAAACCCAGAUUUUCGUUGGGGAACUUUUUCUUUCAUUUCCAUACCUCCACCCUCAAAUUACAUAAUUAGAUUAGGAAAAUAACAAUAGGUUAAUGUGUUAGGAUCAAAUUAGAGUUAGAAUUCGUUACCCAAUAGUUCUCUUUCAAAAUCCUUCAAGAAAUCGCCUCCCUUCGAGCUACAAAUCAAAUUUUAUGUUAUGAAAUUUCAAAACCUUCAAAAUUCUCUUUUUCUGCCUAUCGAAUUCCAUAUCCCGCACCUACAAAAAAAUUAUUGUAGGUGCGAAGGUCACUUAUCCAGGCUGGGGCCGCAUCUGCGGUCACUGGGCCGCAUCUGCGGUCCUCCAGCCGCACCUGCAGUUCCUGAUGCCCAAGCCAAAUUCCACAUCUACGGCUCCGCACCUCUGAUCCCACAUCCACAGGUGCAAUUAUAUCAGGUGCAACAAAUCUUUAGCAAUGUCUGUCACAAACCAAAUCCGUUAAGCAUCCGAACCUUUUAUAUGAAAAAAUUUUCUCCACUAAUGUACUCAUUUUUUCUUAAAAAACUUAUAAACCUAUUAUUCCUAAAAAAUAAGGCCCCGCUAAAUUUGGGAGCCUAAAGUAAGUGCCUUACUUGCUUCACCAUAGAGUCUACAUGUGAAGACCCGGUGGGUCAUCUUUGGAAUUUAUGUCCCGUUCCCCCAUUAACUGCUUCCUCUAAGUUUAUUUCUGCUAUUUUGGUUGCCGGGAUGUUUGAUGUUAGAAAUAGGAGUAUUUUGGGACACUUAGUCCCUAAAUGAAAGCUUAUGUGUUGGACAGUGGUCCGUAAUCGGAAUAGUGUGAAGACGACCUCAGAAUCAGAAUUCAAUGAUUCUGUUAGCUCUGUUAGGUGAUUUUGGGGUUGGGAGCAUAUUUAGAAUGUAUUUUGGGUGUCUGUUGCUCAUUUUAAGCUAGAAAUGCCGAAAGUUAGAAUUUGGAGGUUUCGGUGCGAUAGUGAAUUUCUUAUCCGAGGGUCAGAACAGGAUUCUAAAAUUUGCUGUAGCAUUGUCAUGUAAUUUUGGACGUGCAUGCAAAGUUUAAGGUCAAUCGGAUGAGUGUUGAUUAGGUUUUAGAUCGAAAGCGUAUUUUGGAUGAACUUGAAGUUCUUAGGCAUUAAUCUCUGAUUUAAUCGGAUUUCCGGUUUUGUUUUUGAGGGUUUAAGGAUUUGUACAAGUUUGAAUACGACUUUAUAUGGUAUUAGUGCUUUUGGUUGGGGUUCCGGGGGCCCCAGGUGUGUUUCGGAUGCUCAAUAGGCAAGUUUUGGGAGAUGGAAAAAAAUUGCAGCAGGCUCCUGUCAUUUUCACUUGUGCGGCUCGGGGAUCGCAGAAAAAGCUAAACAAAUUACAAAAGCGGAUGGUGGAUUUGAGUAGAGACUGCAUAAGAGGUAUUGUAUCCACAUAGGCAGAACCGCAUAAGUUGUUCCUGUGACCGCAGAUAUGGAAUCUCGGGUUAUAUGAGGUGUCGCAAAUACGGCUCAUGGUUCGCAUAUGCAGGACCACAGAAGCGGUCCCUGGACCGCAAAAGAGGAAACCACUAAUACUUGGAAUUGGUCAUUUUACCUAUUUUCGCACCUUAGUUUUAAUUUUAAUAAUAGAAUUAGUUACUUUCGAUGUUAUUUACAAUAUGUAAUUGGUUUGAAUAGGUUCAGGCCACUCGGAGUCGGAUACUCAUGGCAAGGGCAUCGUUUCAUAGUGAUUUUUGUACUAGUUCGAGGUAAGUGGCUUGUCUAACCUUGUGUGGGGGAUCUCUCUCCUUAAGACCUCUUAUCUACUAAUUUAAAUGUCUUGAGUGUGAGGUGAUGAGCAUGUACUUGUGCUAGUUCUUGAAAAGUCCACUUUACUUGAAUUAUUUAAACUGUGUUCCUCCGCUUAUUUGACUGAUUUCUAUGUAAGAUUAAUCUAUGUUAGUUAGAAAAGCAUGAUUAGAUAGACUUAAUUGCUUUAUUGCUUACCUAGUCAUGAAGACUAUGUGCCAUCAUCACAUGUUCACAAUUGGUGAACUAGGGUCGUGACAAGUUGGUAUCAGAGCUCUAGGUUCAUAGGAGUCAUGGGACACAUGCCGGUUUAUUAUAGUCUCGUUGAUCGGUACAGAGACGUCUGUACUUACCUACGGGAGGCUAUGUAACUAUUUAGGAAAGAUCUUCAUUUCAUUGAAUUUCUUGUCGUGCUAUAUUUUUUACAUCUACUCUAAACUUUUGUAUACUCUUCUCUCACAGAUGGUGAGGACAUGCACGACCCAGGACGAUCAGGCACCCGUACCCCCUCCUGCAGCCGGUAGAGGUAGGGGCCGGGGCAGAGGUCGUGGGCGCGCACGUGGUGCAGCCAGAGCACCUGCGCGAGCUGACGUCGAGGUACCACCAGCGGAUUCAGCCAGGACUCAGGCACCUGACACACCCACAGCCACCACUAUUCUAGUUUUUCACGAGGCAUUGGAACAGUUUAUGAGCAUGUAUACUGCGCUGUCACAGGCAGAGUAUCUUCCCCUUCCUGUAGCCAUAUCCCAGGCUGUGGGAGGAGCCCAAAAUCCUGCUGCUCGCACUCCAGAGAAGAGGGUGCAUAUGGGGCAGGUUCUAGAUAUUGUCCUUGUCUAGCCUGCAGUACCGGUUCAGCCCGAUAAUGGGGCACCUACUUCUGAGGAUGAGCAUAGUAGACUAGAGAGUUCAAGAAUAAUGACCCUCCGAUUUUCAGCGAACUAGCUACGGAUUAUGCUUUGGGGUUUCUGGAGGAUUGUCACCGUAUCUUUUCCACUAUGGGUAUUACUGCCUCGCGCGGGGUUUCUUUUGCAGCUUUCCAGCUUCGGGGAGUUGUCUAUGACUGGUGGUGUACCUUUGAGUUAGACAGUCCGGACGAGGCUGUCUCCCUGACUUGGACUCAGUUUUCAUAUAUGUUUUAGAAAGAGUUUGUUCCCCAGAGCCUCCGAUAUGCAUGGCGCGUGGAGUUUGAGCAUUUGCGCCAGGGCCCUAUGACCGUCUCUGAGUAUGCCAUCCGUUAUACUAGGUUGGCCAGACAUGCACCGGCUUUGGUGGAUACUGUUCAAGAGAGGGUUUGCCAGUUUAUUGAGGGUCUUAUUCCUCCCAUCAGGUCUGGCAUGGCUCUAGAGUUGGAGAUGGAUAUACCCUAUUAGCAGGUACUGAGCAUAGCCAGGAGGAUAGAGGGUAUGCACGCCAGAGAGCGAGAGGAGAGAGAGGCCAAGGGGUCUCAAGAGUCGGGUCACUACUCUGGUACCCGUACAUCAGCAGCAGGACAUCAUGGUAGGGUAUGGGUCACCCAGUUCACUCAGCUCUUCCUUCAUCUAGCAGUACUCCAGCUCCUCCCAGAUCUCUGGAGCCUUAUUAUGCACCUCCGGUUUCUAGUGUCCCUUCUACGCGGGGUGCUUCUAGAGGUCAGUCUAGCAGGGGGUGGGCCCAGUUAGUCACAGCUACCGCACCCUCCCAGAUCUUGUUUUGAGUGCGGUGACUCACGCCAUAUGGUAAGGGAAGGCCCCAGACUUUGGAGGGGUGCGCCUUCUCAUACUCCACAGCCUCAACAUGCUCCACAGGUUUUGCAAGCUAUCGUUCCAGCUCCAGCAGCCAGCGCACCUGCCCAGCAAGCCCGGGGCGGAGAUCGGGGAGAUAGAGGUCUCCCUCGAGGGAGAGGCCGGUCAGAUAUUAUGCUUUUCCUGCUCGUGUCGUGGCUGUUGCCUCCGAUUCUAUUAUUACGGGUAUUAUAUUGGUUAGUCGCAGAGAGGCAUCGGUUCUAUUCGAUCCAGGCUCUACAUGUUAUUAUGUUUCAUCUUAUUUUGCUCCAUAUUUGGGUAUAGCCCGAGAGGCCAUGAGCUCUCCUGUUUAUGUUUCAACUCCCGUGGGAGAUUUCCUUGUUGUGGACUGCGCUUAUCGGUCAUGUUUGGUUCCUUUUCGUGGUGUUGAGACCAGGGCAGAUCUUUUAUUACUUGAUAUGGUUGAUUUCGAUAUUAUCUUGGGCAUGGACUGGUUGUCGCCCCAGUAUGCUAUUCUUGAUUGUCACGCUAAGACCGUGACGCUGGUUGUAACAGGUAUUCCGCGUAUUGAGUGGAGUGGUACUUUAGAUCACACUCCCAGUAGAGUUAUAUAUUUUCUUAGAGCUUAGCGUAUGGUUGAGAAGGGGUGCGCCACAUAUUUAGCUUAUGUGAGAUAUGUCAGUGCUGAUACCCCUUCUAUUGAAUCUGUUCCAGUGGUACGGGAUUACCCUGAUGUGUUUCCAGCUGAUCUUCCGGGCAUGCCACCCGAUCGGGACAUUGAUUUUGGUAUUGAUUUAUUUUUGGGCACUUAUCCCAUAUCCAUUCCUCCUUACGGUAUGUCCUCUCCUGAGUUGAAGGAGUUGAAGGAUCAUUUACAGGAAUUGCUUGAUAAGGGUUUUAUUCGACGUAGUGUUUCACUGUGGCGUGCUUCUAUCUUGUUCGUGAAGAAAAAGGAUGGUUCUAUGCGCAUGUGUAUCGAUUAUUGUCAGUUGAACAAGGUUACAGUGAAGAACCGAUAUCCCAUGCCUUGUAUCGAUGAUCUAUUUGACCAGCUUUAGGACGCAUAAGUGUUUUCUAAGAUUGAUUUGCGCUCAAGUUAUCACUAGUUAAAGAUUCGGAGCUGAAUAUCCCAAAGACUACUUUCAGGACUCUGUAUGGUCAUUACAAGUUCCUUGUCAUAUAAUUUGGGUUGACGAACGCCCAACAACUUUUAUGCAUUUGAUGCACAGUGUGUUAAGGCCCUAUCUCGACUCGUUCGUCAUUAUUUUCAUAGAUGAUAUUCUUGUAUACUCCCGGAGUUGGGAAGAUCAUGAGCAGCACCUGAGGUCGGUGCUUCAGACCCCGAGAGAAAAGAAAUUAUAUUCAAAGUUCUCAAAAUGUGAGUUUUGGUUGAGUUCUGUGGCAUUCUUAGGCCACGUGUUAUCGAGUGAGGGCAUUCGGGUGGAUCCAAAGAAGAUGGAGGCCAUGCAGAGUUGGCCCAGGCACUCCUCAGCUACAGAGAUCCGCAGUUUCCUUGGCCUGGCGGGAUAUUAUUGUCGUUUUAUGGAGGGAUUAUCAUCGAUUGCAGCCCGUAUGACUAGAUUGACCAGAAGGAUGCCCCAGCGACUCAAGGCAUCGGCUACCAUAGUUGCCUUGCCCCGGUGAUAAAGAAUAGUAAUAUCAUAAUCCUUCAGUAUCUCCAACCAUCUCCUCUGGUGCAAGUUUAGAUCUUUCUGCUUGAACAAGUGAUGUAAACUACGAUGAUCCAUGUAAAUCUCAAACGGUACGCCGUACAAAUAAUGUCACCAGAUCUUCAAGGCAUGAACAAUAGCAGCUAACUAAAGGUCAUGGACAUGGUAGUUCUUCUCAUGUAUCUUCAACUGUCUGGACGCGUAGGCAAUCACCCUAUCAUCCUGCAUCAACACCGCCCCAAGUCCGACUCGUGAGGCAUCGCAAUAAACUGUAUAGGACCCCUAACCAGUAGGCAAUAUCAGAAUAGGGGCUGAAGUCAAGGCUGUCUUGAGCUUCUAAAAGCUCGCUUCGCGCUCAUCUGUCCACUGAGUCAGAUAUUGCCUUGACUCAGCGGAGCGGUACGCGGGGAUUUAUAUCAGCGAGAUUGUCCAUCUGCACGGCAUUCCAAUUUCUAUCAUCUCAAACAGAGGUUCAGUUGUUACAUCACGGUUCUGGAUAGUCGUCCAGCAGGAGUUGGGUACCAAGGUGACUAAGAGUACAACUUUUCAUUCUUAGACGGACAGACAGUCUAAGCGCACCAUUCAGAUUCUUGAGGAUAUGCUCCGUGCGUGCGUGAUUGAGUUUAGAGCGUCUUGGGAUCAGUUCUUUCCAUUGGCUGUGUUUGCGUACAAUAACAGUUAUGAGUCCAGCAUUUAGUUGGCGCCGUAUGAGGCCUUAUAUGGUAGGCGAUGCAUAUCCCCGGUGGGUUGGUUCGAACCGGGUGAGGCCAAGCGAUUGGGAACUGAGUUGGUCCACGAUGUGGUAGAAAAGGUUAAGGUGAUUCAGGAUAGACUCCGUACGGCCCAGUCCAGACAAAAGAGUUAUGCGGACCGGAAGGUUCGUGAUGUUUCUUUUAUGGUCGGUGAACGGGUUCUACUUCGGGUCUUGCCUAUGAAAGGCGUUAUGAGGUUUGGGAAGAAAGGGAAGUUGAGCCCGAGGUUCAUUGGCCCNNNNNNNNNNNNNNNNNNNNNNNNNNNNNNNNNNNNNNNNNNNNNNNNNNNNNNNNNNNNNNNNNNNNNNNNNNNNNNNNNNNNNNNNNNNNNNCCCAGUUUGGCCGGGGUUCAUCCGGUAUUUCAUGUCUCGAUGCUUCGGAGGUAUCACGGUGACCCGUCUCACGUGUUGGAGUUCACUUCUAUCUAGUUGGACAAUAACUUGUCAUAUGUUGAGGAGCCAAUGGCGAUAUUGGACAUGCAGGUCCGAAAGCUCAGUUCAAAGGAUAUAGCUUCAGUAAAGGUUCAGUGGAGGGGUCAGCCGGCUAAGGAGGCGACUUGAGAGACCGAGCGGGAUAUGCGCAGCCGAUACCCUCAUCUUUUUGCUACUUCAUGUAUGUUCUUUAUGCUCGUUCGAGGACGAACGAAUGUUUAAGUGUAGGAGGAUGUGAUGACCCGGCCGGUCGUCUUUGGAAUUUAUGCCCCAUUCCCCCAUUAACUACUUCCCCUAAGUUUAUUUCUGCUAUUUUGGUUGUCGGAACAUUUGGUGUUAGAAUUUAGAGUGUUCUGGGACACUUAGUCCCUAAAUGAAAGCUUAAGUGUUGAAAGUGGUUCGUAAUCGGAACAGUGUAAAGACAAACUCGGAAUGGGAAUCCGAUGGUUCUGUUAGCUCUUUUAGGUGAUUUUGAGGUUGCGAUCGUGUUCGAAAUGUAUUUUAGAUGUCCAUAGCUCAUUUAGGCUAGAAAUGCCGAAAGGUAGAAUUUGGAGGUUUUCGGGCCGAUGGAUUUUUGAUCCGAGGGUCGGAAUGGGAUUCUGGAAGUUUUGUAGCGCCACCAUGUCACUUGGGACGUGCGUGCAAAGUUUCAGGUCAAUCGGAUGAGUGUUGAUUAGGUUUUGGAUCGAAAGAAUGUUUUGGAUGAACUUGAAGUUGUUAGGCUUGAAUCUUUGAUUUAAUACGGUUUCCGGUGUUUCUUUGGAGGGUUUAAGGAUUUGUACAAGUUAGGUGAGGUGUUAGAUGGUAUUGGUGUUUUUGGUUAGUGUCCCGGGAGACCUGGGUGUGUUUCGUAUGUUCAACGGUUAAGUUUUGGGAGUUGGAAGAAAAAAUGCAGCAGACUCCUGUCAUAUUGGUAGAUUUGGGCAGAGACCGUAAAAGCGGUAUGGUAUUCGCAUAGGGGGAACCGCAUAGACGGUUCCUGUGACCGCAGAUGCGGAAGCCCGAGUUAAAUGAGGAGUCGCAAAUGCGGCUCAUGGUUUGCAUAUGCGGGACCGCACAAGCAGUCCCUGGACCGCAAAAGCUGAAACCACUGUUCUAAUAAGGGUUAUCUGAGACUUAAUUUCAAAAGUUGGAAAAUCAUUUGGGAGCUCGGGAAAAGGGCGAUUUUGAGAGGAUUUUGAAGAGGAGAUUUCUGGGUAACGUUUCUAUGAUCCUUUCUAGUUAUAUUUUAUCAUUUAGUCGUUAAAUCCAUAAAUUCAAUUUGAGGAUCAGAAAUUGGGUAAAUUGGGGUAAAGUUCUUAGACCUAAUUGUGAGGAUUUUAGGGGGCAUUUAACCUCGGAUUUGGGAGAUUUUCAUAUAGUUAGACUAGUGAGAAGACGAGGGUUCUAAAAAUAUGAAAAUUACUCGAUUCCGAGACGUUGGCCUGAGGUGAAUUUUGGUCAUUUUACCUAUUUCGCGCCUUAGCUUAAAUUUUAAUAAUGGAGUUAGUUACUUGCUAUGUUAUUUAUAAUAUGUAAUUGGUUUGAAUAAAUCCGGGCCACUAAGAGUCGGAUACUCGUGGCAAGGGCAUCGUUUCGUAGUGAUUUUUGUACCAGUUCGAUGUAAGUGACUUGUCUAACCUUGUGUGGGGGACCUCUCCCCUUAGGACUUCUUAUCUGAUGAUUUAAAUGCCUUGUGCACGAGGUGACAAGUGUGUAUUUGUGAUAAUUAUUGAAAAAUCCACUUUACUUGAACUAUUUAAAUUGUGUUACUCCGCUUAUUUGACUGAUUUCAAUGCAAAAUCAAUCUAUUUUAGUUAGAAAUGCAUGAUUAGAUAGAAUUUAUUGCUUAAUUGCGUAUUUUGACUAAGUUGUACUACGUGAAGCAUGCUAGGUUAGUUAUACAUAAUUGUUGGUGUUCCAUAUUUGAUUUUUCCUGUAAAUUCUUGGUUGUGGUUGUGCAUUUAAAUUUGGACUACGGUGUGGGAUUACGGGAGUUCCCCCUUGUUGUUUAUUUGGGACUACGGGUUCGAUUUUCGAGAGAUCCCCCUGCACGAUUAUAUAAAACUACGGCAAUGCAGCCGGUAGAUUCACCCAGUACUGGGUAUUUAUAUUUGGGACUACCGGACGGUAUCCCGGGAGAUCCUUCAGAUGUAUUCAUAUAGUUGACUACGGGACGGUAUCCCGGAAGCUACUCGUACAGUUUGUUAAAAUGGACUACAGGACGGUAUAUUGGAAGAUCCUCAUUAUUGGUACUGGUAUUGAGUUGUUUAUUCGGUAUUAUCUUAUUUUCUGUGGGUUAAUUUCUGUUUUGUAAUACGAUUUAUUUCAUAGUUGUAUAUCCUUAUUUUUGCUUAUAUCAUACUGUUGUCAGCCUUAUUAUUAUAUUUUAUCUCAGUAGGGCCCUGACCUUCCUCGUCAUUACCCGACCGAGGUUAGGCUUUACUAAGUACCAGUGUGGUGUACUCACGUCUAUUCUGCGCAUGUUUUUCAUGUGCAGAUCCAGGUACUUCCGGUCAGGCGCACUAUCAGUGAUCCAGGAGCUAUAUUCGAGACUUGAGUUAUAUCUGCCGCGUCCGCAGACCGAAGAGACUCCUUCUACUCUACCUUGUAGUUAAUAGUUCCAUUUCAUGUAUUCAGUUGUUUUAGACAUUUUCGGAUAAUAGAGCCGUAUCUUAUGUUUCUCUUAGCCUGUGUUGCCCGUGGGUUUUCGGGUCUUUGUGAUAGGUUUAGAAUGUAAAGUGAUAAAGUAUAUGUGCCAAGCAGCAACUCUAUACAUUAUUCGUGUUAUUUCGCUUUUGGACUAUAAAUUUCAUAAAUGAUGUUACUUCCGCAAUGUGUUAGACUUACCUAGUCGUGAAGACUAGGUGCCGUCAUAACAUGUUCACAAUUGGUGAACUAGGAUCGGGACACUACACAUAUUUUUAGACAAAGAUAAAUUAUACACAUUCAGAUAAUGAAACACUAAUAAUCUUAUUAUUUAUUGUUUAAAUUAUGAGACAAUAUUUUAUUACUUGGAUGUGUAUGUAGAUUCAAAUAUUUUAAUAAUAAUAAAAAUAAACCCAGCCUUACUUUUGCGCAUAACAACAAAUCGUGCGUCUACAUGAAAUACACAAAAACAUAUAUGAUUCAAAGAAAAAAGAAAGAAAGUUCCUAAGAGAUAACCUCCUCUUUAAAAAGAAUUACUUAAUGUAAUCCCAAAAAAUUAGGUCACUUUGCCAAGAGCAUUUAGGCACUCAAAAAGAACCAAAUGAACUUUCAAGGACCGCUUUUUAAAAGUUUAUUAUGACAGUGAUCAUUAAGGUAAGAUAAGAUUUAGCAUUUAGGAGAAGUAUUUACUAUUUACCGUAGGGGAAUUUUUUGUAAAUUGUGACAAAAAGAUUAGUCGAACAUACAAAUAUCUAGCCAACGAAACAAACUUUCAUAUAUAUAUAUAUAUAUAUAUAUAUAUAUAUAUAUAUGCCAAGGUUUUAUUUUAAAAACUCUGGUUUGGCUGGAUUGGAAUGAUAACUAUGUUGAUAAGAUCUUAAAGAAAAUAUAUUUUAAAAUGAAGUUUGAAUACCUCGAAAGAUUUCCUCAAAGCACUACACGGAAUAAGAGUGUCAAGAGUCAUCACAUAAGACUUUUUUGAGAAGACCUAAUUAAGGAUAAGC